rnacentral:rRNA from 1 species
GACGGGGCCCGCACAAGCGGUGGAGUACGUGGUUAAUUCGAUGCAACGCGAAGAACCUUACCUGGUCUUGACAUCCCGGAGACCCUUAGGAAACUAGGGGGUGCUUCCAUCUGGAAGAAUCUGGAGACAGGUGCUGCAUGGCUGUCGUCAGCUCGUGUCGUGAGAUGUUGGGUUAAGUCCCGCAACGAGCGCAACCCUUGCCUUAGUUGCCAGCAGUUCGGCUGGGCACUCUAAAGGGACUGCCGGUGUUAAACCGGAGGAAGGUGGGGAUGACGUCAAGUCCUCAUGGCCUUUAUGACCAGGGCUACACACGUACUACAAUGGCCGAUACAAAGGGCAGCGACACUGCGAGGUGAAGCCAAUCCCGUAAAAUCGGUCUCAGUCCGGAUUGGAGUCUGCAACUCGACUCCAUGAAGUUGGAAUCGCUAGUAAUCGUGGAUCAGCAUGCCACGGUGAAUACGUUCCCGGGCCUU